rnacentral:rRNA from 1 species
AUACGUAGGUGACAAGCGUUAUCCGGAUUUACUGGGCGUAAAGGGCGUGUAGGCGGUCUUGCAAGUCAGAAGUGAAAUUCCUGAGCUCAACUCGGGCGCUGCUUCUGAAACUGCAGGACUUGAGUGCUGGAGGGGAUAGCGGAAUUCCUAGUGGAGCGGUAAAAUGCGCAGAUAUUAGGAAGAACACCGGUGGCGAAGGCGGCUAUCUGGACAGUAACUGACGCUGAGGCGCGAAAGCGUGGGGAGCAAACAGGAUUAGAUACCCUGGUAGUCCACGCCGUAAACGAUGAGUGCUAAGUGUUGGAGGGUUUCCGCCCUUCAGUGCUGCAGCUAACGCAUUAAGCACUCCGCCUGGGGAGUACGGCCGCAAGGCUGAAACUCAAAGGAAUUGACGGGA